rnacentral:snRNA from 1 species
GCUUUGACUACUGGCAGUAUUGCAGCCAAUGAGGUUUAUCCAAGAAUUAAUUAUUGCUAUUAAAAA